ensembl:lncRNA
ACCUUAAAAACUGUAAGACAUUGAUGAAGGAAAUUGAAGAUGAUAUAAAUGAAUGGAAAAAUAUCUCUGUGUGUUUAUGGAUUGAAAGAAUUAAUAUUGCUAAAAUGCCCCUACUGUCCAAAGCAAUUGACUGAUUUAAUGCAAUUUCUAUUAAAAUACCCACAACAUUUUUCACCUAACUAGAGUAAAUAAUCCUAAAAUUUGUAUGGAACCACAAAAGACCCUGAAUAGCCAAAGCAAUCUUUAGAAAAUGGAGGAAAGCCAGAGAUAUCUCACUUCUUGACUUCAGACUAUACCACAAACCUAUAGUCAUCAAAAGAGUAUGGUACUGGCACAAAAACACAUGCAUAGAUCAAUGGAACAAAAUAGAUAGUCCAGAAAUAAACCCGUACAUAUUUGGUCGAUAAGAAUGUAUUCUUAUUGUUCACUUUGCUUUUAAAAAAGAAGUAUUUAAAAGUAGGCUUUUUAUUUCAAAUGAUGGGCAAUUUUAUGCAGAUAUUCUUGGUGAAAAUAGACAACUCUCUCUGAUAUUUUUCACUUGUUGAUUUUGAUUUCCACUCCGUAGUUAACCAAUUGAAAGGAUCACAAGCCAAAGUUUAUCAGCAUCAGUAAUCUGGGUAAUGGGUGCAAGACUAACUACUUUGACAACUGAGUGAUUCUGUUAACCGGCUAACUCUGGAAAGCACUUUAGUCAAUGGGAAGGAAAAAGGUAAUAUGGGGAGUUUGGUGAGAUAAAAAUGUUAAAUUAUUUUCUAUCACUAAGGUUGUUUUUCUUACCUUAAUUAGGAUUUGCCCAUAUAUCAAUUCUCUCUUUUUUUUUUUUUUUUUUUUUUUUUUUUUUUUUUUUUUUUUUUUGCAUUUUCAAUAUCACAAUACCUGGAUUUUGUGCUUUGUCCAGGGAAAAUAAUUUUAAGCUCUCACUUUUUUAAAGCUAAAUCAGAAUACUAUCAGUUGCCUUAUUUACCUGAAUUUAACAGACAUAUGAAAUUUAAUCCCAUGGGCAGCAUGCACAACCUUCUGACAUUUAUUAAUUCGCUGAAAGGUGAGUGGAGAAACAGCAUUGCUGCUGCCCCCGUGAUUUUAGGGAUUAUCUCUGGUCGACAACUGGCUUGAGCCCUAAGGCUUUUUAGGUUGUUGUGUUUGUCUAGACAGGUCAGGGGAGAGAUAGCAUCAUUCCCACCACGCCUGAUUUAACUUGGCCUUGGAUGAUACCACAGAUGGGGUUCGAACCUUUCACAAUAGAUUACAUCAAUUUAACCAUUAUUUCAAGAUCUUAUCUUUUUGUUUGAACAGCUUAGCUCCAGAGAUAACAUUUUAUAGACCCAUGCUCCUUCUAAACAAAUGUCACUGUCAUUUGGACCUAUUCUGAUGUCUGUCCCAUAGACAAUGGAUUUUACUGAGUCAUCCUUAGUCUGGUCUCUACUGAUCCUCACAAGGUUAUUUGUUCCAGAGCUGGGGCCACCAGUGAAAUCUCUGAAUCUUGGCCACUGAAUUUAUCUGUGUAGAGCAGACCAGAGCAGACAGGGAUGAAGCCAUUCGCAGGACCUCUUCACCACCAUGCCAGCAAGCUCAGGCUUAGACUGAAUUAGGGUGGUUAAUAUACAGGGCAGGUUUGGACUUUAGUUUGACCCUAAUUACAUGGUUAGGAUAAAAUAUACUUAGGUAGGAUAAAAUCUCUAAUGUAACGUCCAUGGAGGUUACUAGCUGAUUGAUAAAAGAGUUUUGGCUAGUCCUUUCACCCAGACCUCUGAACAAAAUAUAGGGAUGGGGCUGGGUUAGGCCAUGGCACUUGGGAUCCUGGUGACAGGGUGUCAACUUUUCACUGUUGAGAUCAAGUCACUUCUUAUCUGGCAGCAGAGAACAGCUCCCAUGGGCCGGGCCAGUAGGAGCAGUUCGGAAAGUCAAAAUUUAAUAUGUUUGGAGUGAUAAGAGCCAAUGUAGACAAUUUGAGCAAAAGAUUAUUUUCUUUGAAUAUAGACUAUCCGUCCAAGAAGACUCAAAUUUUGUGUCUGGCUGUGCUAUUUUAUUUGGGCUGGCUGACUUCUAGGUUCUGUUUAUCCCCUUCUCCAAAGUAAAAAUAUUGAUAGUAUGAAGUCAAUGAGAUGGUUAGGGGAAAGGGAUGGAUGGGGUGAUAGCAAGCAGAUUCUGAGGGUCUAGAAACAUCCUGCUGCUUUGGGAGGACUUGGACACAAAAUGAUGUCUCCCAGGAAAGUGAGGCAUCCUGGGUGGCCAGUGGAACUCUCCACUCCUGUUCUGUCUGUUGCUCCCCUCAGUAGUGGCAAAGGGUAUGCCACCGCCACCUUGAAUGAAGUGUCACAGGUGUACUUGCCUCUUGGCCAGGAGUAUAUUCUGGCUCUCACUGGGUUUCCUCUUUUCACUGAUGCUCCCCAAAGCUGAGACUUAUUGUGUACCCCAAUCCCAGGACCCAGAAGAUAUGCCAGGAUGCCUCCAUCUAGCCCAAUUCAGUCCUCAAUAAAAACCUGAGCUUAAAAGAGGGAUGGCCCUCUGUACCAGCAAGCUGUACACUUGAUAUGGGAGGUAAGAAAUCUGAGGGCAUUCCUCAGAUCUGCACUGGAUUUGGGCUCUCCACUUUCAAAGUGCUGAUUAAUUAUGUGCUACAUUGCACAGCUUAUGAUAACACUCUCCCACCUAAGUAAUUCAAGAAGAUCGAGUUCCAUGUAUUGAGGGUAGGAGAGGCUGUUGGAACCUCCUUGGCCUGGGUUCCUCUUUCCCCUAAAAAAACUUCCCUUAGUCACUCUCCAGGUGCUUGCCACUCAUAGUAAUGAGAUCUGGGCUGGUCAGCCAGGUGUGGAUCGGCCCCCCCUCCCUUUCUCCACUCACUCCAGUCUGCUCUUCCAAGUCCAAGUCCAUUUAAUUUAAUUUAUUUUUAAUUGAAGUAGAGUGGAUUUACAAUGUUGUGUUAGUUUCAGGUGCACAGCAAAGAGAUUCAGAUAUAUAUGCAAAACAAUAAAUAAAUAAAUCUAUUGUUUUUCAGAUUCUUUUCCCAUUAUAUGUUAUUACAAGAUACUGAGUAUAGUUCCCUGUACUAUGCAGUACAUACAGUAGGUCCUUGUUGUUUACCUCUUUUAUACAUCACGGUGUGUAUCUGCUAAUCCCAAACUCCUAAUUUAUCCCUCCAUGCCCUCCCCUCCCCCCGCCUUUACCCUUUGGUAAUCAUAAAUUUUUUUUUUCUUCUAUCUGUGAGUUUGUUUUUAUUUUGUAAAUAAGUGUGUUUACAUCAUUUUUUAAGAUUCCAGUUAUAAAUGGUAUCAUAUAUUUGUCUUAACUUCACUUAGUAUGACAAUGUCUAGGUCCAUCCAUGUUCCUGCAAAUCAAGCCCUGCAUUUUAGAGUGGAUGCUUGUGGUUUUCCCUGCACUGGCCAUGACUGUGACUAAUGCUGGGGCUUGGCAUCAAGAGGACCAUGGUUCCUAUACAGUGAAUUGCCUUCUCGAGGCUAGUCUUCUUCAGUAAUGAAGCUGAUACCUUUAAAAUCUGUAACUCCCUUACUCUUUUGCCUUACCCCUCAUUUGGUAUAGAGUUCAGGUGGGAAAAACAAAAGAAUAGCUGACCCUCCAUCUCCGUAGAUGCAGAACCCACAGACUCAGAGGGCUGACCAUACUCUGCCAUGUUAUAUAAGGGACUCAAGCAUCUGUGGAUUUUGAUAUUCAUGGGGGUCUUGGAAUCAAUCUCCUGAUAUUAAAUAGUCUGAUACUGAUAUUAAAAUAGUCUCCUCUUAGGAAGUUCACAGGGCAGUGGGGGGGAAGUGGGUAGAUAGAAAUAGAAGCAAAAUGUUGUGAAUUAGUGGAGGGCAGUGUAGAGUAAAAUUCGAGAUCUCUACUUCUGGAUUCAUUUAACCUUGGCUGCAUUCCCAGAGGUACCACUCACUAGAUGAAUGAUCCUGGGAAGGUUCUUUAUUUCAGUGGUUCAGUUUUCCCUUCUGUAAAAAGGGGGAAGGAAUUACCACCUCACAGGGUUGUAAAAUUUUAGUGAGAUGAUAUAUGUAUGUAAAUUGAUUGGCACAAAUCUGAGCACACAGGAAAACAUCAGGCUUUUUGGCCACUGUUAAUUAUUAAAAGUAUUGUACAUAUGCUGUGGAAUCAGGGAGGGGUACCUGACUCUUGGUGUGAGUAUUCUUAUCUACAAAGAGGAAGAAAAUAAGUCUGCCCAUAACAUGGAGUAACAAUAAGACAAGCAACCCCAGAUUGUACCUAAUAUAUGUUUUCUGAGCUUCACUCUGUAGGUUAAGUUUGCUUUUCGUCAAUAAUAAUUUGUACUAAUUGAGUGGUAACUGUUGUCUAGACUAGCUUCAGUUAACAGACAGAGGGAAGAGCCAUCACUGAAUAAGGCACUGAUCUCUUUGUUUCCUGAGUAACCGUUUUCCCAAGUGCUAAAAAAAAAUAGAAGAGAAGAAGAAAGAGAGAAAGGAGAAGAGAAGAAAAUGGAAGAGAAAGGAAAGGGAGAGAAUGAAGGAAGGGGAAGAGAACAGAAAAGAAGAAAAAAGUAUAGAUUCAGUUCCUUCCCACAAAUAUGGCUAUUUGCAUAUUUUGCAGUAGUAUCACCAACGUAAUGAAAUUAAUUUAUGGAUGUAUAAUAAUUCAAAACUGACCAAGGAAGUCAUAUCCCAGAUUAGGAUGGACAGAGUACAGGUGGAAAGAGGGUUAUGUAUAAGAGAAGAGGGGGAAAACUCUUAUGAAAUAUAGGAAAAGAGAGAACUCUACUACCAUUCUCCUUUACUUGUAUACUUCUGCUAAGAUGUAUGGAAUCUUGCCCUCACAGUCACAAACACAUUUCCCCAUCAAUGGCAUCUCUGCAGGAGAUUUAGUCUUAGGAGAUAGCAGUUUUCAUAUGCAGAUCUUGCUCUUAUUUCAAUGUUCUAGUACUUCCCCAAUUUUGCAGUGGGAAGAAGGCCCUGUUGCACUCCUCUUGGUUAAUCCCAACAGCCAGCCACCUACUUAUGACCUCACCCCUGCCAUCCUCCCCCAGCUGCCCUAAUCCUACCUCCUCUUUGUUCUGCAACCAUGACAAACAUGCUUGUCCUCAACAUGCAAAGCUCCCUCUGCCAGGAACAUUCAUUCCCCAGACCUCCACACUUCUCACCCUGUCACUCCUUUUAGGUCACUGCCAAGGUCCUCUUACUGGAGAAGCUUUCCCUAACCAUUUCAUCCAAAAUGGGACUCUCCAUUCUCCCAGUAUGCCCCUUCCUCUUGCCCUGCCUCCAUAACAGUAAUCGCUAUCUGACAUGGUAGGCAUACACGUGUUUAAUUGUUGAUUAUUGCUUUCUCUUCUGUGUUAGGUUGGGUUUCCUAGAAGCAGAAGUGGAGCAAAGAAUUCAAAUGCAUAUUGAGGGAAUGCUCUUCCAGAAAAACACCUUGAGGGAGGAAGUGAAGCAGGAGAGCAGGAGGGGAAGCAGCCAGGAAGAUGUGGUUUCAGGGAAAGGUUAAUCUUGGCAAAGAAUUUUUUGGUCCAUUAAUUACACUUGGAGACAAGGGGCCAGUCCUUUGACUCUAUCAGUCAGUCAUCGGCUGUAGACCAGGAGAAGACAUCGUGACUGCCUGGCUGAGGCAGUGCACCUCUGCCGAGGAUGGCUCUCCUGGGAAUGGGGGCAGCUGGAAGCUGCAAGCCAACACACAUAGCACCUGGGAGAGGGUGUGCUGGCUGGGUUAAGGGACACAGGCAACUGAAUGACAUCUUACAUGUCUCUCCCACAAUAUAAUCUCCAUGAGAUCUGGGACUUGAUCUGUUUUGUUCCAUGGUGUAUCUAGCACACAGAACAGAGCCUGACACAUAGUAGGCCUUCAGUGAAUGUUUGUUAAAUGAAAAAAUGAAUGUAGUUGAACUGGAAAAGUGCUAGAUUGGGGAUACAAUAGUGAAUGUGACUGUUUCUGCCCUCAUGGAGCUUAUGGGUCUAAUGGAAUUUAGAUACAGGUAAUUAAAAUAUAAUUGGGUAAGUACUGUAAUAGGAAAAGCAGAGAGAACUAAGCACACAGUAGAGACACUUAAAAUCCAGAGUUUGGGAGGAGCAGAUAUUACAAACCUUGUAGUUUGGCAAGGGAUGUCUUUCUAGGAUAAUCAUUCACAGUGAAUGGAAUGCACACUAGUAAAGUUGGAAAAACACCAGUAAGACUGUAGAGUUAUUGAAGUUCCCGUCUUGGCGCAGCGGAAACGAAUCCGACUAGGAACCAUGAGGUUGUGUGUUCAAUCCCUCGCCUUUCUCAGUGGGUUAAGGAUCCGGUAUUGCUGUGAGCUGUGGUAGGUUGCAGAUGUGGCUUGGCUCUGGUGUUGCUGUGGCUGUGGUGUAGGCCAGUGGCUACAGCUCCGAUUUGACCCCUAGCCUGGGAACCUCCAUGUGCCACGGGUGCAGCCCUAAAAAGACAAAAAAACAAAACCAAAAAAAAUUGUAGAGUUACUAGGAAGAUUUCAAUCCAGUUAUCUUUCCUCUUGAUUUGUGUCUCAAAUGGAGUGAUUCGAAGGAGAACUAUCCAAGCCAGGACCACUCCCAUCUGUGCCAGACUCUGUUUCCUCAUCUGUAAAAUGAGAGGAUUGAACUGUUGAUUUCCUUUGAGAACUGACCUUCCUCAAGAGCGACUAGGCUUUGUCUGUUUUGUGGUAAAAAGUCAGAGAAUGCUAGAUAGUCAUUUAGUGCCACCAACCAGCUGUUUUGCUUUGGAAUUGAGGAAUUCCUUUGGACACUUAUUAAUUGGCAUUUUUUCUCCGCUAUAGGUAGAUACAUUAAAAAAAAAAAAAAAAAAAAAAAAAAAAAAAAAA